UUUUAUUCCUUAUUUUUUAUACUGUUCAAUGUUUAAGUGUAGAGUAUAGGUACUUAAUAUUAGAAAUAAUAUUAAUAUUUCGUGAUAGAUAAUUGAUUUAUGCGAUUGACAGUCUGGUUGAUGCGAUCUUUUUGAGGUGUGUGUGGCGUUAUAUAUUGUCCGUGCGUGAUAGUUGUAAUUGCUGGGCCUCGUCCGGAAUAAUUGUUGCUAGGGGCUGUAAGAUGUCGCUGCUGCUGGGGUACCUGCUGAUUUUUCCUCCGUUUUUUUUUUUUUUUUGUGAUGUUUACGAGGAUUGGGUAAACG
rnacentral:misc_RNA from 1 species